CCUACGGGUGGCAGCAGUGAGGAAUAUUGGUCAAUGGGCGGGAGCCUGAACCAGCCAAGUCGCGUGAGGGAAGACGGUCCUAUGGAUUGUAAACCUCUUUUGGCGGGGAGCACUGCCGGGCACGCGUGCCCGGCGUGAGAGUACCCGCAGAAUAAGCAUCGGCUAACUCCGUGCCAGCAGCCGCGGUAAUACGGGGGAUGCGAGCGUUAUCCGGAUUUAGUGGGUUUAACGGGUGCGUAGGCGGAUUUUUAAGUCAGCGGUAAAAUUUCCGGGCUCAACCCGUGCCCGCCGUUGAAACUGGGGAUCUUGAGUGGACGAGAAGUAUGCGGAAUGCGUGGUGUAGCGGUGAAAUGCAGAGAUAUCACGCAGAACUCCGAUUGCGAAGGCAGCAUACCGGCGCCCGACUGACGCUGAGGCACGAAAGCGUGGGGAUCGAACAGGAUUAGAUACCCUUGUAGUC
rnacentral:rRNA from 1 species